UGUGACCCGGGCCGGAGGAAUCCCGGGAGCGGCUCGGCAGCCGCGGGAAGAAGGGGAGAUGCAGGCGGCCGCCUCUGGCUCAGCUGGCGCCGCGGGAGGGGCAGGAGGAGGCAGCUCCCAAGAGCAGCAGCUCAACCCAUUGUCUCAAGUAUUCCAGGAGUGUAACUGAAAGCACAUGCUUUAUACAAGAGUGGAAACAAACGGUACAUUACAGAUGAACCCAUAAUCAUCAUACCCCACUUAAAAUGAUGCAACAAUCCACAAUAUUUGUCAAUAACGGAACACAGGAGAUCUCAUCCUGCAGCCAGAAUUCCCAGGAGUAGUCUUAUUCAUCUGCUGCCAUUCAGGCCAUGAGGGGUUCCCCCUCCACACCCAUGGAAUGCCUGAGCCAGAUAAAGAAGAGAAAUAAGAUAUUUAGGAUGACAUGUUCAGCAAGAUCCUGCAAGCCAGUGCUGUAUCAGACCCUGAACAGAGGGCCUGGAGAAAGGCCCAGAUGUCAGAGAGCGAGAUGCACCAGGAUAUAAUAGGGUUUCUCCGGCAGCAAACACAGAUGCUGCAGACUCCUGUGGACCUACAGGGUCAAUAAUCCUGGACUCACCUACCUUUUGUGAACUCCAGUACAUGGAGAAUUCCAGUAUAGCACACUCCACUCCCCAUAAAUGCUGCUCAACAUGCCACAGAGUAUCAAGGAUCAUGUCCCUAUCCCUACCAGUCCACACUGGGAGAUAUUAAGGACAACUACAGCUUCACCUAUUAGAGCCAUGGUAGCUGUAUGUGUUGCUAAAUUGGACAUGAUUUCAUUCUUCAAGCUCUGUUCCAUAUAUUUAUUAAGGUUUUAACAUGUUUUCUUUUUUAAGCUGCACAACAUUUUUUGAAGUGUUUUCAUUACCCAACAAAACCAUCUUUUUUGGAAAAUAAUUCAUCUUUAUUAGUCCCCAACAUAUGCUGCAGAAUGUGUGGUGGAAGUGAAAGCAUCCACUUGUUAUUGUACAAUAUGACACAGCUCAUAGGAUCAGUGACAAACACAGUGUAAUAAUUAUAAAUGUACAGGGAGCCCCACAAAAAUAAUAGGAGCAGUGACCGUAUUAUAUCCAUAAAUGUGCACCAAGCACCACACACUUCCUAACAGACCCCCAAGCUUCAGGGCCAGGUAGAGAACAGUACACCACGAUGCAUUUCUGUGGAUCACUGUUAAAGUGCUUUUUCAAAGCUGCC